UGGGGAAUAUUGGACAAUGGGCGCAAGCCUGAUCCAGCAAUGCCGCGUGAGUGAUGAAGGCCUUAGGGUUGUAAAGCUCUUUCGCACGCGACGAUGAUGACGGUAGCGUGAGAAGAAGCCCCGGCUAACUUCGUGCCAGCAGCCGCGGUAAUACGAAGGGGGCUAGCGUUGUUCGGAAUUACUGGGCGUAAAGGGCGCGUAGGCGGCCUGUUUAGUCAGAAGUGAAAGCCCCGGGCUCAACCUGGGAAUAGCUUUUGAUACUAGCAGGCUUGAGUUCCGGAGAGGAUGGUGGAAUUCCCAGUGUAGAGGUGAAAUUCGUAGAUAUUGGGAAGAACACCGGUGGCGAAGGCGGCCAUCUGGACGGACACUGACGCUGAGGCGCGAAAGCGUGGGGAGCAAACAGAUUAGAUACCCUGGUAGUCCACGCCGUAAACGAUGAAUGCUAGACGUCGGGGUGCAUGCACUUCGGUGUCGCCGCUAACGCAUUAAGCAUUCCGCCUGGGGAGUACGGCCGCAAGGUUAAAACUCAAAUGAAUUGACGGGGUCAUAGCUGUUUCCU
rnacentral:rRNA from 1 species